rnacentral:rRNA from 1 species
ACGUAGGGUGCGAGCGUUAAUCGGAAUUACUGGGCGUAAAGCGUGCGCAGGCGGUUCGUUAAGACAGAUGUGAAAUCCCCGGGCUUAACCUGGGAACUGCAUUUGUGACUGGCGAGCUAGAGUAUGGCAGAGGGGGGUAGAAUUCCACGUGUAGCAGUGAAAUGCGUAGAGAUGUGGAGGAAUACCGAUGGCGAAGGCAGCCCCCUGGGCCAAUACUGACGCUCAUGCACGAAAGCGUGGGGAGCAAACAGG